GAUGAACGCUGGCGGUAUGCUUAACACAUGCAAGUCGAACGAAGGCUUCGGCCUUAGUGGCGCACGGGUGCGUAACGCGUGGGAAUCUGCCCUUGGGUUCGGAAUAACAGUGGGAAACUACUGCUAAUACCGGAUGAUGACGUAAGUCCAAAGAUUUAUCGCCCAAGGAUGAGCCCGCGUAGGAUUAGCUAGUCGGUGAGGUAAAGGCUCACCAAGGCGACGAUCCUUAGCUGGUCUGAGAGGAUGAUCAGCCACACUGGGACUGAGACACGGCCCAGACUCCUACGGGAGGCAGCAGUGGGGAAUAUUGGACAAUGGGCGAAAGCCUGAUCCAGCAAUGCCGCGUGGGUGAAGAA
rnacentral:rRNA from 1 species